AUUGAACGCUGGCGGCAGGCCUAACACAUGCAAGUCGAGCGGAGCGGCGGACGGGCGGGUGAUAACUAGGAAGGUGCCUGGCAGUGGGGGAUAACGAUCGGAAACGGACGCUAAUACCUACUGCUAUCAGAUGAGCCUAGGUGGGAUUGGCUAGUUGGUGGGGUAAUUGCUCACCCAGGCUACGAUCCGUAACUGGUCUGAGAGGAUGAUCAGUCACACUGGAACUGAGACACGGCCCAGACUCCUACGGGAGGCAGCAGUGGGGAAUUUUGCACAAUGGGCGCAAGCCUGAUCCAGCCAUGCCGCGUGUCUGAAGAAGGCCUUCGGGUUGUAAAGGACUUUUGUUAGGGAAGCGGUACCCGAAGAAGAAGCACCGGCUAACUACGUGCCAGCCGCCGCGGUAAUAC
rnacentral:rRNA from 1 species